AUGAUGUGGUUAAUUCGAUGCAACGCGAAAACCUUACCCACCUUUGACAUGUACGGAAUCCUUAGAGAUAGAGGAGUGCUCGAAAGAGAACCGUAACACAGGUGCUGCAUGGCUGUCGUCAGCUCGUGUCGUGAGAUGUUGGGUUAAGUCCCGCAACGAGCGCAACCCUUGUCAUUAGUUGCUACAUUCAGUUGGGCACUCUAAUGAGACUGCCGGUGACAAACCGGAGGAAGGUGGGGAUGACGUCAAGUCCUCAUGGCCCUUAUAGGUGGGGCUACACACGUCAUACAAUGGAUGGUACAAAGGGUCGCCAACCCGCGAGGGGGAGCCAAUCCCAUAAAGCCAUUCGUAGUCCGGAUCGCAGUCUGCAACUCGACUGCGUGAAGUCGGAAUCGCUAGUAAUCGUGGAUCAGAAUGUCACGAUGAAUACGUUCCCGGGUCUU
rnacentral:rRNA from 1 species